GUGAGGAAUAUUGCGCAAUGGAGGCAACUCUGACGCAGCCAUGCCGCGUGCAGGAAGAAGGCGCUACGCGUUGUAAACUGCUUUUAACCGGGAAGAAACCCCAGGACGUGUCCUGGGUUGACGGUACCGGAGGAAUAAGCACCGGCUAACUUCGUGCCAGCAGCCGCGGUAAUACGAAGGGUGCAAGCGUUAUCCGGAUUCAUUGGGUUUAAAGGGUGCGUAGGCGGAGCGUUAAGUCAGUGGUGAAAUCCUGCAGCUUAACUGUAGACUUGCCAUUGAUACUGGCGCUCUUGAGUGCGCUUGAAGUGGGCGGAAUGUGCCGUGUAGCGGUGAAAUGCUUAGAUAUGGCACAGAACACCAAUUGCGAAGGCAGCUCACUAAGGCGAUACUGACGCUGAGGCACGAAAGCGUGGGGAGCAAACAGGAUUAGAAACCCGAGUAGUCC
rnacentral:rRNA from 1 species